rnacentral:rRNA from 1 species
UCUUUUCCUUUUUUGCCCGCCGCCGCGGUAAUACGUAGGUGGCAAGCGUUGUCCGGAAUUAUUGGGCGUAAAGGGCGCGCAGGCGGCGUCGUAAGUCGGUCUUAAAAGUGCGGGGCUUAACCCCGUGAGGGGACCGAAACUGCGAUGCUAGAGUAUCGGAGAGGAAAGCGGAAUUCCUAGUGUAGCGGUGAAAUGCGUAGAUAUUAGGAGGAACACCAGUGGCGAAAGCGGCUUUCUGGACGACAACUGACGCUGAGGCGCGAAAGCCAGGGGAGCAAACGGG